rnacentral:lncRNA from 1 species
GGAAAAUCUGCUUGGCUGACAAAGACAAUUCCUUCCGAGAAUCCUUUUGUUGUGGGACAAGCUCCUUCCCAGCCUCUGCAGGGUUGCAGAAAAUGUUUUGGGAAGUUAUGAAGACAGGAUGCAACAAACACAGAAGAACACUGGUGGUGUUUUUGUCACGAGCGCGUUCAUUCCUUUGUGCUGCCACAUGAAUGGAGUGUUCGCUGAUAAAGAAAACGCCCUCGCAGCGCACUGCUUCUAUUUCUAGUCAUAAGUUAAAAAUUCUCUUCUCAGGAGGAUCCCUCUGUGCUGCGCAGGUGUGUGGGAAAUUCUGAGCAUUUUAAUGACAUUGCAUCUUAUUUUAGUUAGACAAGUCUGAGGGAAAAUUCCUAAAUUCAAAGAGAGAACUUCAAAAAUGACAUGAUUUCGAAGAGCUCUGAAUUCUAGAGAUGUCUUCCAAAUUGCUAAAUCAGGAGUACAGACUGCCAUCUUUCUCUGCUGCUGGGAUAUGUGGAGCUGAGCUGUCUACACCAAGGACACCAUCAGAUAAAACAGGCUGUGUGCAAGGGAGAAGAAGGCCCAAGCCCAUGGGACUGGGAGGAAGCAGCCUCCUGCAAUGAUUUAUUUAGCAGGUCCAUCACUCCCACUGCAGACAGCUCCUGCUUGAGGCAGCUGAUGGAGCAAGGACAGGGAGCACACAGCAAGGGGGAAAGGAAACAUCAUCUCAAUUUUCCAAACAGGAAAGGGUGAUACAGAAACAAGGUAAUGGAGGACUGGAGUGCUCUGAGUGUCCUGGGCAGGAUGGUGGCUCUUCUCCAGAACCACUGUUGCCCUGGAGAUGCUGCAGGUGCUUCUCAAGGCUUUGGCAAGAGACAAGAAUUAGCAAGCAGAGAGCCCCUGUACCUUUUCCUACAAAGACACAGGGCAUGAGACACCAAUGACUGGUAGGAAAUUCCCUCACAGUGGUGAAUCUGAGAUUAAGCUGUAGGAAAAAUUCCAACUUUUACCCUUCUGUGCUUUGUCCUUGUCUCCUCUGAUUCCAAAGAGGCCUUAAAAAAGAUGGGCAUGUCCCAGAUUUGAAGUGAAAGGAAACAAGGAUCUGGCAGUGACUUUUUUUUAGAAAAGCUGACGCUUGAGUAAUGAAAACAACGUUCACCCAGCUGAGAGACAGCAAAAGAACAGUAUUUAUUCUUGAUUCCUUGCAUGUGAUCUCAAGUUCUCUGUGCCCAGCUUUCUGAUUUCUCCAUGCUUCCAUUUCUUACCUU